rnacentral:rRNA from 1 species
GACGAACGCUGGCGGCGUGCCUAAUACAUGCAAGUAGAACGCUGAAGGAGGAGCUUGCUUCUCUGGAUGAGUUGCGAACGGGUGAGUAACGCGUAGGUAACCUGCCUGGUAGCGGGGGAUAACUAUUGGAAACGAUAGCUAAUACCGCAUAAGAGUAGAUGUUGCAUGACAUUUGCUUAAAAGGUGCAAUUGCAUCACUACCAGAUGGACCUGCGUUGUAUUAGCCAGUUGGUGAGGUAACGGCUCACCAAGGCGACGAUACAUAGCCGACCUGAGAGGGUGAUCGGCCACACUGGGACUGAGACACGGCCCAGACUCCUACGGGAGGCAGCAGUAGGGAAUCUUCGGCAAUGGACGGAAGUCUGACCGAGCAACGCCGCGUGAGUGAAGAAGGUUUUCGGAUCGUAAAGCUCUGUUGUAAGAGAAGAACGAGUGUGAGAGUGGAAAGUUCACACUGUGACGGUAUCUUACCAGAAAGGGACGGCUAACUACGUG